rnacentral:sRNA from 12 species
UGCCUAACCCCAUUGAUAACCUCACUGGAUAUGGCAUAAAACCCACCUGCACACUGAACCCGUCGUUCAGCUCCAUGCAGGUGGUCCAUACCCGAAAGGGCAUGGGAGGGUCGAAAGGCUCUC